GCAUCAGUGGUUUAGUGGUAAAAUCCAUCGUUGCCAUCCUGUCCUUGAUCUGGACACCCAUAGGUCGAUGGGCCCCGCGUUCGAUUCGCGGCUGAUGCA